rnacentral:misc_RNA from 1 species
GAAGAACUGGGCUUUGUGGGCUUCAUUUCAUCGUUUGUACCAGAUUUUUGACUGGGUAGAAAUGGGCUUGAUUCUUCCACAUUCGCCAUUAGAACAGAAAAUUUUCAAAAACCAAAAUUGAUUUUUGAAUAUUGUGAUUUUCAAGAAUUGGAGAGCGAGUUGAGGGAUCUAAGAGAUGUCUCAAUAAGAAGAAGAACAAAAGAGGAUGACAACCUCAAAGAUCUCUCGAUUCUAUUUGAGUAAAACUCUGUGGAAAUUGAUAAAUAGAAAUAAUGUCUUUUUU